rnacentral:piRNA from 1 species
GGGAUGAAAAGGGUACAGAAGAGCAU